AGCAACGAAUAUUCCGCAAUGGGCGCAAGCCUGACGGAGCGACGCCGCGUGAAGGAUGAGGUCCUUCGGGAUGUAAACUUCGAUAGUUGGCUGGAAAGUGAUUCGGGUGAACAAUCCGGAAAGUUGAUCGGCCAACGAAAGGGGUGGCUAACUCCGUGCCAGCAGCCGCGGUAAGACGGAGACCCCUAGCGUUGUUCGGAAUUACUGGGCUUAAAGGGCGUGUAGCGGAACGGUAAGUACUUUGUGAAAUCCCCGGGCUCAACCCGGGAAUGGCUUAGUAUACUGCCGUUCUUGAGGCAGGUAGGGGUCACUGGAACCUUGGUGGAGCGGUGAAAUGCGUAGAUAUCUAAGGAACGCCUGUGGCGAAAGCGGGUGACUGGGCCUGUCCUGACGCUGAGACGCGAAAGCGUAGGGAGCAAACGGGAUUAGAUACCCCGGUAGUCUACGCCGUAAACGAUGCGCACUAGGUUCGAGAGUCUCUGAUAUCUUUCGAGCCGAAAUAAAAACGGUAAGUGCGCCGCCUGGGGAGUACGGCCGCAAGGCUAAAACUCAAAGGAAUUGACGGGGGCUCACACAAGCGGUGGAGCAUGUGGAUCAAUUCGAAGCAACGCGAAGAACCUUACCUGGGUUUGACAUGUACGGAUGCCCUUCCCGAAAGGGGAGUAAGCUGCCUUCGGGUGAAACGUGCACAGGUGCUGCAUGGCUGUCGUCAGCUCGUGCUGUGAAGUGUCGGGUUAAGUCCCUUAACGAGCGAAACCCCUGUCGCUAGUUGCCAGCGGGUCAUGCCGGGAACUCUAGCGAGACUGCCGGCGUUAAGCCGGAGGAAGGUGGGGACGACGUCAAGUCAUCAUGGCCUUUAUGUCCAGGGUGUCACACGUGCUACAAUGGGGUGUACAGAGCGACGCAAAGCCGUGAGGUUGAGCAAAUCGCAGAAAACACUCCUCAGUUCGGAUUGGGGUCUGCAACCCGACCCCAUGAAGUUGGAAUCGCUAGUAACCGCGCAUCAGCCAUGGCGCGGUGAAUAUGUUCCUGAGCCCUGUACACACCGCCCGU
rnacentral:rRNA from 1 species